rnacentral:rRNA from 1 species
AGAGUUUGAUCCUGGCUCAGGAUGAACGCUGGCGGCGUGCCUAAUACAUGCAAGUCGAACGCGGGCACAUGUGCCCGAGUGGCGAACGGGUGAGUAAUACAUAAGUAACCUGGCCUUUACAGGGGGAUAACUGCUGGAAACGGUAGCUAAGACCGCAUAGGUACGGACACUGCAUGGUGACCGUAUUAAAAGUGCUGCAAGGCACUGGUAGAGGAUGGACUUAUGGCGCAUUAGCUGGUUGGUGAGGUAACGGCUCACCAAGGCGACGAUGCGUAGCCGACCUGAGAGGGUGACCGGCCACACUGGGACUGAGACACGGCCCAGACUCCUACGGGAGGCAGCAGUAGGGAAUUUUCGGCAAUGGGGGGAACCCUGACCGAGCAACGCCGCGUGAAGGAAGAAGGAAUUCGUUCUGUAAACUUCUGUUAUAAAGGAAGAAAGGCGGAUGAAGGAAAUGACAUCCGAGUGACGGUACUUUAUGAGAAAGCCACGGCUAACUACGUGCCAGCAGCCGCGGUAAUACGUAGGUGGCAAGCGUUAUCCGGAAUUAUUGGGCGUAAAGAGGGAGCAGGCGGCAGCAAAGGUCUGUGGUGAAAGACUGAAGCUUAACUUCAGUAAGCCAUAGAAACCAGGCAGCUAGAGUGCAGGAGAGGAUCGUGGAAUUCCAUGUGUAGCGGUGAAAUGCGUAGAUAUAUGGAGGAACACCAGUGGCGAAGGCGACGAUCUGGCCUGUAACUGACGCUCAGUCCCGAAAGCGUGGGGAGCAAAUAGGAUUAGAUACCCUAGUAGUCCACGCCGUAAACGAUGAGGACCAAGUGUUGGGGGUGAAACCUCAGUGCUGAAGUUAACGCAGUGAGUCCUCCGCCUGGGGAGUAUGCACGCAAGUGUGAAACUCAAAGGAAUUGACGGGGGCCCGCACAAGCGGUGGAGCAUGUGGUUUAA